CCAGCAGCUUGUGGUGCGCGCGUGAGCGUAACUGCUCCUGUGCGCGGGAAGCGCGUGACAGCACUGCGCCUAUUGGAGCUGAGAGAGGAGGCUGAGCUCGGCUGUGUGUACAAUAAGCCCAGCCUGCCGGUGAGGACAGUCACGGCUUCUGCACGACUAGUAACGGUUAUUCGCGUAUAGCCUAUCGGUUUUCGGUUACAUGACACUUUUUGGACAUUGUUAUCUCGAAAACGUUAAUUAACCGUUACGAGAACUGGUCUGGAAGAGCAUCUCUCUCUCUCUCUCUCUCUCUCUCUCUCUCUCUCUCGCUCUCUCUAACCCUGCUAAGCGCUUUCACACACUGAGGAAAAGCGAUGGCAGAGUGUCUCAAACAUCUAACGCAUUAGAGUCUACUCACUUGACCCACUCAUUACUCCUGUCCCCUCUUUCUGCACUUCUAAAGGUAAGAGACACUGUCUUAUUCUUUCCUUCACUCACUUCUCUCUUUCCCCACGGUGUUACAAUUUCAGGAUGUUCACUUGGUUCAUUUGUACAGAGAUUGUUUCAUCACACUGACUACAGACUUUCUCUUUUUGAUUUCACUCAGAUUUCACUUUCGCCAAGUCUGCUUCAUUCUUCCUUAAUUCUAUUUAUCUCUGCUGCAAAAAUCUUUU
ensembl:lncRNA